UACGUAGGGUGCAAGCGUUAAUCGGAAUUACUGGGCGUAAAGCGUGCGCAGGCGGUUUUGUAAGUCUGUCGUGAAAUCCCCGGGCUCAACCUGGGAAUUGCGAUGGAGACUGCAAGGCUAGAAUCUGGCAGAGGGGGUAGAAUUCCACGUGUGAGCGGUGAAAUGCGUAGAGAUCGGGAGGAACACCAGUGGCGAAGGCGGCCUUCUGGACCAGCACUGACACUCGAAGCACGAAAGCGUGGGGAGCAAACAGG
rnacentral:rRNA from 1 species